AUCCAGCUAACGAGUCCCAAAUAGGACAAAACGCGCAUCCUUGAU
rnacentral:hammerhead_ribozyme from 1 species